rnacentral:rRNA from 1 species
GUGGUUAAAAAGCUCGUAGUUGGAUCUCAACAGACCUGGAUCGGUUUACUUUGUGUAAUACUGAUCCAGGGCUGUGCUUUUGCCGGAGGUUUAGGGGUGCUCUUAACCGAGUGUCUCUGAGUGCCGGCAGGUUUACUUUGAAAAAAUUAGAGUGUUUAAAGCAGGCUGUUAUGCCUGAAUAUUUGUGCAUGGAAUAAUAGAAUAGGAUGUUGAUCUUAUUUUGUUGGUUUUCGAGACUUGACAUAAUGAUUAAUAGGGACAGUCGGGGGCAUUUGUAUUCAAACGACAGAGGUGAAAUUCUUGGACCGUUUGAAGACAAACUACUGCGAAAGCAUUUGCCAAGAAUGUUUUCAUUAAUCAAGAACGAAAGUUAGAGGUUCGAAGGCGAUUAGAUACCGCCCUAGUUCUAACCAUAAACGAUGCCAGCUAGCGAUCUGCUGACGUUUUUACUGUAGACUCAGUAGGAAGCUUCCGGGAAACCAAAGCAUUUGGGUUCCAGGGGAAGUAUGGUUGCAAAGCUGAAACUUAAAGGAAUUGACGGAAGGGCACCACCAGGAGUGGAGCCUGUGGCUUAAUUUGACUCAACACGGGAAAUCUCACCAGGCCCGGACACUGGAAGGAUUGACAGAUUGAUAGCUC